CUACGGGAGGCAGCAGUCGAGAAUAAUUCACAAUGGGGGCAACCCUGAUGGUGCAACGCCGCGUGGAGGAUGACGGUCUUCGGAUUGUAAACUCCUGUCAUCUGGGAGUAAGACCUGGCUGUUAAUAGCAGACAGGGUUGAUAGUACCAGAAGAGGAAGGGACGGCUAACUUCGUGCCAGCAGCCGCGGUAAUACGAAGGUCCCGAGCGUUGUUCGGAAUCACUGGGCGUAAAGGGAGCGUAGGCGGCGCGGUAAGUCAGAUGUGAAAUCCCGGGGCUCAACCCCGGAACUGCAUCCGAUACUGCCGUGCUAGAGGAUUGGAGAGGUAGCUGGAAUUCUUGGUGUAGCAGUGAAAUGCGUAGAUAUCAAGAGGAACACUCGUGGCGAAAGCGAGCUACUGGACAACUCCUGACGCUGAGGCUCGAAGGCUAGGGUAGCGAAAGGGAUUAGAUACCCCUGUAGUCCUAGCAGUAAACGGUGCACGCUUGGUGUGAGGGGAAUCGACCCCCCUUGUGCCGGAGCUAACGCGUUAAGCGUGCCGCCUGGGAAGUACGGUCGCAAGACUAAAACUCAAAGAAAUUGACGGGGACCCGCACAAGCGGUGGAGUAUGUGGCUUAAUUCGAUGCAACGCGAAGAACCUUACCAAGGCUUGACAUGGAUUUCUAAGCACGUGAAAGCGUGUGACCCUUCGGGGAACUUCCACAGGUGCUGCAUGGCUGUCGUCAGCUCGUGUCGUGAGAUGUUGGGUUAAGUCCCGCAUCGAGCGCAACCCUCGCCUUUAGUUGCUACCAUUUAGUUGAGCACUCUAGAGGAACUGCCGGUGAUAAGCCGGAGGAAGGUGGGGACGACGUCAGGUCAGUAUGGCCCUUACGCCUUGGGCUGCACACGUACUACAAUGCCCAGCACAAUGAGAACCGAUACCGCGAGGUGGAGGAAAUCAAUAAAACUGGGCCCAGUUCGGAUUGGAGGCUGCAACUCGCCUCCAUGAAGUUGGAAUCGCUAGUAAUGGCACAUCAUCUACGGUGCCGUGAAUACGUUCCCGGGCCUUGUACACACCGCC
rnacentral:rRNA from 1 species